UUGGGAAUCUUGCACAAUGGAGGAAACUCUGAUGCAGCGACGCCGCGUGGAGGAUGACGGGUCUAGGCCUGUAAACUCCUUUUAUCGGGAAAGACUUAGGACGGUACCCGAUGAAUAAGCACCGGCUAACUACGUGCCAGCAGCCGCGGUAAGACGUAGGGUGCAAGCGUUGUCCGGAUUUACUGGGCGUAAAGAGCGCGUAGGCGGUCUUUUAAGUGUGAAGUGAAAUCUCCAGGGCUCAACCCGGAAACUGCUUUACAUACUGGAAGACUUGAGGGAUGCAGAGGUUUGUGGAAUUCCUGGUGUAGCGGUGAAAUGCGUAGAUAUCAGGAGGAACACCCAUGGCGAAGGCAGCAAACUGGGCAUCAUCUGACGCUGAGGCGCGAAAGCGUGGGUAGCAAACAGG
rnacentral:rRNA from 1 species